GGGCACAUGGUGCAGUUGGUAGCGCGCUUCCUCGUGUAAAGGAAGAGGUCAUCGGUCUGAUUCCGUUUGCGUCCA
rnacentral:tRNA from 1 species